rnacentral:lncRNA from 13 species
GGAAAGCCAGCCCCAGGAGAGGUGCUCCAGCCAGGUCCCUAUUCCCAUGGUGAUUUUGCAUAUAUUUGCUUACCACAAAUGUAUGGUAAGGUUUCUUCACUAAGGUUUAAUGGGCUAAGGUUUCUCCUUACUCUGACUAAAGCAAAAUAGACACAAAGUUUGAAGAGAGGCCCUCUACAUCGGAGGCAAAGGCUGAGGAGACACAGACCUACACACACACACACACACACACACACACACACCCUCACUAUCAUGUAGAGGUGGUAGGCAGAAUGGAGGUUCCCCAGAGAUACCCAUGUCCUAAUCCUAUGGUGUCUAUCUUACAUGGCAAAAGGGACUUUGCAGAUGUGAUUAAAGUUAAGGACUUUGACAUGGGGGAUUUUCCAACUGUGCCCAAUCUAUUUACGUGAAUCCUUAAAAUCAGAUAAGCUUUCCUAGCUGUGGCCAGAAAACAAGACAUGACAAAGGAAGAAACAUCAGAGAUGCUACAUUGCUGACUUUGAAAAUGGAGGAGGGAGCCAUGAGCCAGAGAACACAGGUGGCCUCUAGAAGCUGGAAAAGGAAAGGAAACCCAUUCUCCCCUAGAGCCUCCAGAAAGGAACAAAGACCUGCUGACACCCUGAUUUUAGCCCGAUAUCCUGUUUCUGCGUAAAGAGUUGUUACCGUUGACUCAUGAAGAGCACAGGGUCUUGCUCUGACGCCCAGGC